AAUUGGUGGUCCACAGUGUGCACAAGCUGCAAACGUCUGCUUCCCUUGGCUACAACAGGCGAUGGAAACUGCCUCUUGCAUGCUGCCUCUUUAGGGAUGUGGGGUUUUCAUGAUCGGGACCUUGUCUUGCGUAAAGCACUCUACACUAUGAUGAGAACUGGAGCUGAAAGGGAAGCCCUGAAAAGAAGAUGGAGAUGGCAACAGACUCAGCAGAAUAAGGAGUCGGGCUUAGUAUAUACAGAGGAAGAGUGGGAACGGGAAUGGAAUGAACUGCUUAAGCUGGCGUCAAGUGAGCCGCGCACCCACUUCAGCAAGAACGGAGGCAC